GCGACAACCAAUCAAAGUACGAAGAGUGGGUCACGAGAAUAAAGAUUAGUUUUCGUCUUUCGAGGGAUUACAUCAUUUCUGGUUUGAAGAUUGAAUUGAGGUUGGAAACAAACAGAAGCAAUGGCUGCAGCAGACAACAACAAACACAAUAUGAACGAUGGAAAUAGAGAUGAGUCCCUAGAGAGUGAAGGUAACAACGAGGGGCUCCUCGCUGUAGGGAGUCAUGCACAGAAUAAAUCUGACGACGACUCCAACUUGGAGGAAAACUUGGCUAGGACAGCACAUAGGAAUGAGCUUUCAGAACAAUCACCUAAAGAAAAUGAAUUGCGUUGUUGUAGUUGUGAAGGGCAACCUAAUUUGACGCCCAACGCUGCACCUGAAAUGGUCUGUCGGCUAUGUGGUAAAGCGAUAGUUCGGAACCGCACUCAGCAAGGAAAAUUCAACAGAUCGCACGUAAAUCCGACCAGAACGGAAGAAACAUUAUUAAGCGUUGUCCCUCAGUCGUACAGUGGACAUUUGCCUUCGCUCCCCAGUGUGUCCCUAGAAGAUGAGGCGUGCAGCACCUCGACGCAAGCAGCAUCCUUAACAACAGUUUCAUCUGGAUCUCAGCGAGAUAAAAUCCCUGUAAUAAAUCUGUGUCACCAUUCGGUUCAGCAUCCAUCGGCUGGAUUAACAGUGGUGCUCUUCCUAUUCGAAAGAACCCACCACGAGAGGAAAGAGAAGUUGUUUAUACUUUAUAUGAUCCCUAAGAAAGAUUGGCAGGUGUAUGACACAAUUCGCCAGAGUUACGUAGAUGAGGGGACCAGGCAAGCUUACUCAACAAGACAAAUUUCAUUUUGCGUAAACAAUGGAAGAAGCCAAGAUUUUCACACUGUAUUUGUUCGCGAGCAAAUCAGAAUUUCGUUUCAAAUUGAGGAUCACCAGCGAGAAACCUUUGUCACUCCUGUGGAUGCAAGAGGCCGAGACUUUGUUUUCAGAGUUGCCAACAUUGAAUGUGAAAGCAACAAUCGAGUGGUACCAGGUGCCAAGUCCCAUUUCCGAGUCCAGUAUGUUGGUGACUCCGAAGACCCUUGUCAACAACAAGGAAAAAUCACCUUAGCCAUCGAUGCAGAGACACAGUGCUCCCUGUACUUUUCCAUCGCUUUUUGGGUAAACCUAUGGCUGGUGAAUGGAAACUAAAGCUUUGGUUGAAGUUAGCAUUGUCACUCUUGAUACUCUUGGUAGUCACCAAAAGCAUAAAGUGUUACAGUGCCAAUUCUUACUUUCCGUCUGUUUAAAAUGUUAUCACGUAGAAUAAGUUUACCAGUCAUGAGUUCAUAAGCAAAGCAGUGAUCGGAAAUAUGCUUUCUGGCAAUGGGAAUGUUCUGCCCAGAGGCGGAGAGGAAUUCAUCGACCUAGCCAGAAUUUGAAAGUGUACCUCCCAGUCCAGGGUUUAGCCCAAGUAUCGUCGGUCACCCCAUUCUCCACCUAUUGUUUUCAAACCUAGAUGGAUUUUUUAUCAACCAUUUUCCAUGGAGUAAAGAUAGCAUGACCUGGCUGUACACAAGAUCCCUCACGAUAAGCCGAGUGGUCAAGUCUUGGUUGGGUCUUUGUGUUGUGUUAUUGGGAUAGAAAUACACUGCACUUUCGCAUUUCCUCUCCUCGCCCACGACAAUAAAAAGGUGCUGGUAACUUUUUAAGAAACUUAAAAAAAUGUCAAGGGUAACUAUGCAAUAAAGUAAAAAGCACCCAAGGAGAGUUUUAAUACUCAUAUAGACAUCUCAUGCAACUUGAACCAGGACAAGUUCUCGCAGAACAGGUUUUUACAGUAUUAUACCCCGGGAAAUGCUUUAGUCAGCACUAAACUACCAAGCAUUGAACGUUACAAUGAAAAUAUUUGUAAGAAGACCUUUAAUUCUAUUUUAAAUGAUAAGAGUAACCGGUUAAGAAAUCUUUUACCCUCAGCCCAUAAGUCGUCUUACCAUCUAAGACGAUGCAGGCGUUUUGAAACACCAAGGUGGAAAACAAAUAGGUUCAGGGACACAUUUUUAAUGAAAUCUUGUAUUGAGCAUGAUAUUAUAUAAAUAUAGCUUU
rnacentral:misc_RNA from 1 species